CACCUCGUGAUCGGAGGCGUCCGCGUC
rnacentral:sRNA from 1 species